AUGAGCAGCGAAAAUUUAAGACUAUACUUCACAGGAUCAUUUCUGUAGUCAGUCUUCACUUACUUUCACACUAACUGAAAGCCUCUUACACCCGCGUUGAUGAGAUACAUCGUUUUAUUCGGCAGCGUGAGGAUUUGUGUGAUGCUCUUUUGCGAUGUUACUUCGGUUACAUCGUACUGUGAGUAUUGCGCUUCGAUGAUCGCUCGGUAACACGAAUAGAACGAAUUCUGAGUGGUGUACCAUUUUUAAAUUAAUACAUUUGGAAACGAAAGGAAAAAAGGAUCAGCAUAUUAAGAGAAAUCUUUAAAAAAAAAAUAUCGAUUAUUUUUUUUCAACUAAAUUAAGGUUGCUGUGAAUGUAUUUAUCGAACGGCUUCAUUUUGGCGGUUCCGCGAAAAUUAAUUUGUAAAGCAAGAUCUCGAGAUACAAUCUUUUCAAGAUUUAUGACGACUCCUUCCGGCAUUA